ensembl:lncRNA
GUGGACCCUGGCCCACUGGUUUUCAAUAAAAUGUCAUUCAUUACCAGUGUUGGACAGUAACACAUUACUCAGUAACGCAUUAAUGUAAUUUGAUUACUUUUUUUUUUUAGUAACGGAGUGAUUUAAAGCGUUAUAAUUUUCAAAAAAGUAAUUAGAGUAUAGUUACAAGCCGAGGUCUCUAUACAUUACUGCCGCGUUACAUUGCUGACAGAAUGCAGUGUUUUAUAAUCUAGAGAUUGUAAAAAGGAUGUAGCACACGCAUUGACGAGUCAAGUGCCAGUGGAUUAGAGACCUGCUCCCGCGAGAUCCGACACAACAGAGUGUGGCACGGGACAAGAUAGACAAGUGCUUGUGUGUGUGCGGGAUGCGGGAGAAUAAAAUGAUUUACGGGACUCCCGCAAAAUAGAAAUAUCUAAACAUAAAAUAUCUAAAACAAAUAAAUUGUUAUUCAUCUAUUGCACAAAAACAACAUAAAUUAAUAUAAAAUAUAAACGAUUAACAGCUGCAAGUGAAUGCAAAGUUUCUAUUUAGGCUAUAACGCUUUUGCAGCGUUGAGCAAUGCAGUGCUGAAAUUUGCGUGCUCAUGAAUCCUCUCCUUAUUACGGAAGUUCUAAGCGGCCAUGCAUUAUAAUUUUUUUUCUUUUUGUUUUCUCGUUAUAACGACUUAAUUUUCUCGUUAUCUCGACAUAACGAAGUUCGUUUUCUCGUUAUAGCGACUUAUUUUUCUCGUUAUCUCGACAUAACGAAAGUUUGUUUUCUCGUUAUAACGACUUAAUUUUCUCGUUAUCUCGACAUAACGAAAGUCGUUUUCUCGUUAUAGCGACUUAUUUUUCUCGUUAUCUCGACAUAACGAAAGUUUGUUUUCUCGUUAUAACGACAUGAAAGUUUUACUGUUGCUAUAGUAACGAACUCAACUUUGACAGGCAUCUGAUGGACAGCCAUGCAGGCGCUCUUACUGUAGCCUAUAUUUCAGCAAAUUUUGCUUCACCUAGGUAAUAAUAACGUCUACAAUACUGUAUAAAUAAAGGCUGAUCAAUCACUGUUGAUUUUUUCCAGAGACAGUACAACGAACGUUUUGUUUUUGUAAUUAACAUGUUUAAAUGGCAACACCGCGCCAUUAGAGCUGCUUGGAUUAAACUCACUUUUAAUUUUCCCUUUAUAUGAAAUAAAAUUAUAUAUAAUUUGUAAUUUGUAGUAGUCAUUAUGUGGCAGAUAUCAUGUGUGUUACAAGCUUCUGUUUGAAAAAGAGCGUUCAUGUGUACGUGUAGUGUAUGUGUGUGUGUGUAGAAAAAAACCAUUACAACAUUACAGAACAAAAACUGAAUUAAAUUAGCCUAUGGAUUUUACAUAUACAUCACAUUUCUCAUCAAUAUGGUUAACAAUAAAGAUUAGUAAUAAGGAAAAGAAGCACAUCAGCCUACAUCGUUAAAUCCCGUCCUACUGUAGAUAAACAGAACAUCUCCGCUUAUUAACUACCUAAUCAUUAAAUUAAAAUUAAUUUUAAAUUAAUCAUGAGCCUAAAAGAAGCACAAAUAUAAUAUAUAUUGGUGCAAACAGAAUACAGUGAUGUCAACCUUGGUUUUGAUAAGCAGUUAUUGAUGAAACAGAAUGCGUUGGUGAAACUCAUGCAUCUAGCAGGAACUUAAUACACAAAAUAUUCAUAUUGAUUCAAGCAUUUAACAUUUUUGAAUUAAUUAAAUGUCAGUAAUAAACAAGACUGCACAAAUUAUAGCGAUCACGAGGAAGGUCCGCGUACAGUAAAGUGGAUAGUAUACAACACCCCAUCAGUUAUAUUCAGGUCUAUAGUGCCACCUGCUGGUGCAGUUUUGUAAAUUCUUAGAGAAAAUUAAGUCGUUAUAACGAGAAAACGAACUUCGUUAUGUCGAGAUAACGAGAAAAUUAAGUCGUUAUAACGAGAAAACGAACUUCGUUAUGUCGAGAUAACGAGAAAAUUAAGUCGUUAUAACGAGAAAACAAAAAGAAAAAAAAUUAUAAUGCAUGGCCGCUUAGAACUUCCGUAAGUAGUAGUAAAUCUAAUAAUAAUAAAAAUGUGUUAUCAAUGAAAAAUACAUAUAAGUUUUGAAUUAAAAAUCUGUUAAUGUCUUAAGUUUCAUUGCAUUUAAACUUUGACCUUGGUGAAGCACAGUUCCUAAUGAAGGUCUAAUAUAAUCCAUAUCAUUACCAUACUAACGAUCAUAACCA